CCUACGGGUGGCAGCAGUGGGGAAUAUUGGACAAUGGGGGGAACCCUGAUCCAGCGACGCCGCGUGAGUGAAGAAGUAUUUCGGUGUGUAAAGCUCUAUCAGCAGGGAAGAAAGAAAUGACGGUACCUGACUAAGAAGCCCCGGCUAACUACGUGCCAGCAGCCGCGGUAAUACGUAGGGGGCAAGCGUUAUCCGGAUUUACUGGGUGUAAAGGGAGCGUAGACGGCGAUGCAAGUCUGAAGUGAAAGGCGGGGGCCCAACCCCUGGACUGCUUUGGAAACUGUAUGGCUGGAGUGCAGGGGAGGUAAGUGGAAUUCCUAGUGUAGCGGUGAAAUGCGUAGAUAUUAGGAGGAACACCAGUGGCGAAGGCGGCUUACUGGACUGUAACUGACGUUGAGGCUCGAAAGCGUGGGGAGCAAACAGGAUUAGAUACCCUAGUAGUC
rnacentral:rRNA from 1 species